UUAUUUUUCAGUUUUAGAAUAAAGUCAAAAUUUCGAAAUUAAAUUUGAAAUGCUUUUUCAGAAAAAUAGUCAAAAUACUAUUUUUAGAAAAAACAAAGUUUCAAGUCAAACCACUGCUCCACGGCUGCUAUAUACUCUACGAAAUGCCUGGUGUAAAUGAGUUAGUGAAACAACUUAAUCAGCUGUCUUAUUGUGUCUUGUGCUACAACACAAUCCCUCUUUCGUGCAUGACGAUGUCACCAUCGGUAUCCUUGUAUUUGGUGAAACUGGGAAAUGUGAGGUUUCAUUUAUAAAGUUUAAAAAUAAUAAUCAAAAAAAUAAUCAUUGUGCUAAAUGUUCAGAGUCAUUAACUCAGUGGGAACGAACAACAAAACAAAUUUACAAUUUUCAUGAAUACUGAAACUGUUAACUGUAAACUGUAAGAUCACUCAGACUGUUUUUUUUCUUCUUUCAGGGCACACAAAGAUCGUCUAUGUACUUUAUUUCUAUGCUUACAGCUCCUGGUCAGGCAGAGCCAUUUAUAUGGAGGACUUGUAUGUGAUGCCUGAGUUCAGAGGGAAAGGCGUUUAUCACUUCUACCUCUUCUUAAAGUCAAUAAAGAGCUCUUUUACUGAUGGCAUGAAGUUGGCUUUAAUGUUAGUUGUAAGGUCUUGGGGUUGUUACAGCUUCACACUGAUCACAAACUACACCACCGUCGAACUAAAACAUAACAUAAAAUUCAAUGAAAUAGUAAGACGAGUGAAAUAAAGACAUAAAAUGAUCUACAUAACAUACAAACAUACCUCGCUGGCUGACCCAUGCUUUGAGGCAGAAAUGAGCACUUUACAGAUACUUUUAAGAAACAACUUUCUCUGAAUUAAAUUGGCUUCUCUUGCUUCAACUUGCCAUGCUCACACAUCAACAUGGGCGUGCAUCUCCCUCAGGUGCACCAGUGGAACCAGCAUGCAGUACAAUAGUGCCUACAUGAGAAUUUUCACAAUAAAUGACCUAAUGGCAUAUAAAAUAUGCAUAGUGCAAAACAAAAUACAUUAACUGAAAGUAAGGCAGUAAAAGCGUUGGUAAAGCACUAAUAAGCAAGGUGGCACAGCUGGGUCUGGCUGCUGGUUGCCACCAGCUCAACUUCACCGUCCUGGACUGGAAAAAACCAUCUGUGGACUUUUACCUCAGCCAGGGCUGCUUUGAUAUCACUGCUACAAUGGGCUACCA